GUGAGUUCUGAAGCUGUCUCCCCUG
rnacentral:piRNA from 1 species